GAUGAACGUUGGCGGCGUGCCUAAUACAUGCAAGUCGAGCGAACGGACGAGAAGCUUGCUUCUCUGAUGUUAGCGGCGGACGGGUGAGUAACACGUGGAUAACCUACCUAUAAGACUGGGAUAACUUCGGGAAACCGGAGCUAAUACCGGAUAAUAUUUUGAACCGCAUGGUUCAAAAGUGAAAGACGGUCUUGCUGUCACUUAUAGAUGGAUCCGCGCUGCAUUAGCUAGUUGGUAAGGUAACGGCUUACCAAGGCAACGAUGCAUAGCCGACCUGAGAGGGUGAUCGGCCACACUGGAACUGAGACCCGGUCCAUACUCCUACGGGACGCAGCAGUAGGGAAUCUUCCGCAAUGGGCGAAAGCCUGACGGAGCAACGCCGCCUCAGUGAUGAAGGUCUUCGGAUCCUAAAACUCUGUUAUUAGGGAAGAACAGAUGUGUAAGUAACUGUGCACAUCUUGACGGUACCUAAUCAGAAAGCCACGGCUAACUACGUG
rnacentral:rRNA from 1 species